AAAGUCGUAACAAGGUUUCCGUAGGUGAACCUGCGGAAGGAUCAUUAAAGAUUCUUGACCUCCGGGUCGAACUUUUCAGCUGUGCGCUGAUAAAACUCACACACCUGUGCACAUUUCGGUCGCAUCCUGCAUGCAGGUUUGCCUCCGCUUUAACAUACAACCACACGUCUUGAAUGUAACAAACUAUAAAGUAACAACUUUCAACAACGGAUCUCUUGGCUCUC
rnacentral:misc_RNA from 1 species